ACUUGUUCUUUAAAUAAGGACUAGUAUGAAAGGCACCACGAGAGUCAUACUGUCUCCUUUCUCUAAUCAGUGAAACUAAUCUUCCCGUGAAGAAGCGGGGAUAAAAAUAUAAGACGAGAAGACCCUAUGGAGCUUCAAACAAAUAACACUUGCCCCAGACCCCUAAUUUCAGAAAAAUUUUCUACCCCGGCAUCAUGAUUAUUAGUUUUCGGUUGGGGUGACCACGGAAUAAAAAACAACCUCCGCAAUGAAAGACACUCAUCUACUUAAUCAAGGGCCACAACCCCACACAUCAACAAAUUGACACUAAUUGACCCAACAUGUUGAUCAAUGAACCAAGUUACCCUAGGGAUAACAGCGCAAUCCACUUCAAGAGCUCCUAUCGACAAGUGG
rnacentral:rRNA from 1 species